rnacentral:rRNA from 1 species
AUUGAACGCUGGCGGCAUGCUUUACACAUGCAAGUCGAACGGCAACGAGGAGAAGCUUGCUUCUCUGUCGGCGAGUGGCGAACGGGUGAGUAUAGCAUCGGAACGUGCCAAGUAGUGGGGGAUAACCAAACGAAAGUUUGGCUAAUACCGCGUAAGCUCCAAGGAGGAAAGUAGGGGACCUAAAUAAGGCCUUACGCUAUUUGAUCGGCCGAUGUCGGAUUAGCUAGUUGGUGGGGUAAUGGCUCACCAAGGCAAUGAUCCGUAGCGGGUCUGAGAGGACGGUCCGCCACACUUGGACUGAGACACGGCCCCGACUCCUACGGGAGGCAGCAGUGGGGAAUUUUGGACCAUGGGGGAAACCCUGAUCCAGGCCUGCCGCGUGUUAUGAGGAGGGCUUAAGGUUUUUAAAUUCUUUUGUUAAGGAAGAAAAGCUAGGUUUUUAUUAAAAAUAGUGAUGACGGUACCUAAAGAAUAAGCACCGGCUAACUACGUG